UACGUAGGGUGCAAGCGUUAAUCGGAAUUACUGGGCGUAAAGCGUGCGCAGGCGGUUUUGUAAGUCUGUCGUGAAAUCCCCGGGCUUAACCUGGGAAUGGCGAUGGAGACUGCAAGGCUAGAGUUUGGCAGAGGGGGGUAGAAUUCCACGUGUAGCAGUGAAAUGCGUAGAGAUGUGGAGGAACACCGAUGGCGAAGGCAGCCCCCUGGGUCAAAACUGACGCUCAUGCACGAAAGCGUGGGGAGCAAAAGGG
rnacentral:rRNA from 1 species